rnacentral:lncRNA from 1 species
UCAUACUUGAUAGGCCACCAUCAGAAUUAUUGGCUUCAUCAUUUGAAAGCUCAUGUGACUUGAGCUUGCCAAAUGUCAUUGUAAAAGAGGAGAUACAAAGAGUGUUGAAGUGAAACACUUAAUAUAUAAUAAUAAAUUUAAGUUGGUGACACAUAUCACAAGUUUACAAUUGUUUUAUUUUUUAUGACUUACAUAGUAUAUAAACUCCAC